AAGCAUCCCUUCUUACCCGUGUGCUUCUUCUCAAAAGAACUUCUACUUAUUCCUCAACAGCUUCUUCUUGUAUCUGGAUUUCUUCUCCAGCUUCCUGACCUUCAUUCUGAACUUCUCUUACUGAUUCAUCUCCACUUUGGACAGGAGAAUCUGAGCCUUGAUCUUCUAGACCUCCAGCUUCCUCUGAGCCUUGAUCUUUUAACCCUUCAGCUUCAGAUUCACUUCCCACGUCAUGUUCAAAGUGGGAUGGUUCUUCAGCGGCCACUUGAGUAGGCUCUU
rnacentral:lncRNA from 1 species